UACGUAGGGUGCGAGUGUUGUCCGGAAUUACUGGGCGUAAAGAGCUCGUAGGGGGUUUGUCGCGUUGUUCGUGAAAACCGGAGGCUUAACCUUCGGCGUGCGGGCGAUACGGGCAGACUGGAGUACUGCAGGGGAGACUGGAAUUCCUGGUGUAGCGGUGGAAUGCGCAGAUAUCAGGAGGAACCCCGGUGGCGAAGGCGGGUCUCUGGGCAGUAACUGACGCUGAGGAGCGAAAGCGUGGGGAGCGAACAGG
rnacentral:rRNA from 1 species